GACAGAGGGGGCAAGCGUUGCUCGGAAUCACUGGGCGUAAAGGGCGCGUAGGCGGGAUGGCAAGUCGGUCGUGAAAUCCUUCGGCUCAACCGAAGAACGUCGGCCGAUACUGCCGUUCUUGAGGGAUGCAGAGGAGAUUGGAAUUCCACGUGUAGCAGUGAAAUGCGUAGAGAUGUGGAGGAACACCGAUGGCGAAGGCAGCCCCCUGGGUCAAAACUGACGCUCAUGCACGAAAGCGUGGGGAGCAAACAGG
rnacentral:rRNA from 1 species